rnacentral:piRNA from 7 species
UUCUGGGUCGGGGUUUCGUACGUAGC